AAUUGUAUUAGGAAAUGUCCAUCUGAAGAUUAUCAAUGUUAUGAUCGUUGUGGAUGGGAUUGUCCACAUAAGCUCAGUACUUCUUAUGAUUAUUGCAAUUUUGGAUGUGUACUUCGUCGUUGCUCAAAAAUGGUUGAAGAUUCGGAUCCAUGGCGAGCUUGCAGACACACUUGUUACGUUGGCUGUGGUCAUUAAUGCAAAUUUUUAUCUGAGGCGAACACAAAUGUGCCCGUUAUGAUUUUCAUUUGAAUAAAAUUUUUCUCAAUUGGAACUUU